ACAGCAAAAUCACCAGUGUUAAAUUUUCAGGGAUGGUGUUAAAUACACAGUGUUGAUGCUGUUUUAACACUAUCUGGUAAUAAAAUAACACUGCCAUUGCUAGGCCAGUGUUAUAUUCACGACAGUGUCAGUGUAAAACAAGGGUGUUAUCAGAUUUCACUCUGAGCGGUGUAAAUCAAGCCACGCCUCCACUAAACAUUUCCUGUCAGGGAUUUUACCGCCAUUUUCUUUCACAGGAGGACUGAAGAGAUCAGGUAAAUCAGUCUCAUAAUAUUCACAUGGUUUGGCUAAAUUAAACUGUUAUUUCUCUGUCUGACUCUACGCAGCCAUAUGCCAAAAAACCUAAAUAAGAUAUUUUUCCCAUUUUAUUUCCCCUUUGUUCGUUAUUUGGUUCAGUUUAAUCAGAGCUACCUUGUGUUACGUUGUUCCCUUGUUAGUUUAGUAUAAAGUUAAACUGCUAGCUAAAAGUUUAAAACCAAGAAGGAUAAUAUUAACAGGAGAUAUGAACGAAUUGAACCAUGAUAAAACGCGACAUGCACUACAAAUUGAAGGUAUGAAAUUAAGUUAAAUGAAAGCUCGUUUAUUCACCAUAUGAUGCUCGUUAUGAGGUAAUCAUAUAGGCUAGAUACCGUGAGUUAACGAGGUCGUUUACAUGCACGUGAGUGCACGGAUAUCGGUUAAUUAUUCAAAUUAUUGAAAAACACGGAGAAAACCGCAACCGCAUCGUCAUGUGUUUUUCUAAGAUGUAUGCAAACAGGGGAAAUAUCGCCAAACCAACAAUUAAUUUUACCAAAACCUCACAAUAUAUCAUCAUUUGUAUGCACAGAUUGCUGGAUUGGAUGCAUUGUGUGUUGUAAGCUUUUCGUGGCGCUAGAUGUCAGACAGAUGCAAAUGGCAAAUAUACAAAAGUGUAAAACGUGUAAGGCUAACGUGAACGUUUGUUUUUUUUCUGUCAUUAUAGAUGCUAGUUUGGUGAAAGUUCACACUGAGUGCUUCAAAUCAUUCAGACGAGAUGCUGUUUUUAGGGCAGUUUAUUAAAGAAGACCUGACAUGGAUGACUUCCAAUGAGAAACGACUGCUAAUACUUAUAUAAAUUCAUUACAGAAUGACCCUACCAGACUAUGUUUGAAUACGGCAUACCCAUGAAUUCUGGAACUGUUAUUCCUUAACCCAGUUUGGAGGAUAAGAGCUUACCAACUAGUUACAGUAUAAAUAUGCUGAGGUGAUGUAUUGCAAAAUAGCCAACAUACAACAAUAUGGAUGACCCUCUGUCUGGUCAACAGGAGUUUAAAUAUGGAUGGGACAGUGAUGUGGCAGCUCUUCCCUGGCUCAUUCACCUCUUGCCUUUCAUUUGUGAAAGGAAGAAAGAAGAAAGAGGGUCAAUGUGCAACUGAAGCUACUGAUGCUUGUAAGUUUUUUAGUAUUUUGUUCUAGUUAUUUAUUCAGCAGUUAGUUUGCUUGCAUUGUUCACCCCAUGUAAAUGCAUACAAGUUCAUAAAUACACAUCAAAUACAUUCAUCAAAUACACUCUUUUAAAACACUCUUAGGUGAUUAGCAUCAAUCCAUGCUUUGAGGUGGAUGAAUCAGCACAGCCCUGCCUGCACUGCGUUGGGAACAGAAGUUGCAUCCAGAAUUUUUGCAUCAUUCUGGACCAAAAAGCCAUUCCCUCCAUGAUGAAGACCACUGAUGCAGCCUUCCACUACAUCAUGAGUAAAACAACUACAGAACUAAAUACCAGGUUGGAACGUAUUUAAGAAAAAUGAAACGUCUUUUGAAUUGAAAUGUCUGUUUUGUUAUGGAAAAAUCUUUAGUAUUGUGAAGGAUAAGCAUUUCUGCCUGCCAGUAAGGUAAUUGCAGUGUAUUUUAAUGUUCAAGUUUUGAGUAGGGUGGCUAAUUUUUUUUUACUCAUUUGAUAUAUUAAAGACCUUAUAAUAAGUGGUUUUCAUGUCCCUGUGCUGUGGUAUAAGAUAACUUUCAUUAUUCCAUACUGUAUUCUGUAUUCUAAUUGUAGCUGAGGUAUUUAAAUAAGCAGUAUUAAAUGCAAAGUGUUGUGUGUAUCAAUGUAAAUAUUAAAUGUGAUGUACUUUAAUAAAAAGAGGUUUUGCAAUAUUUCUUGUCAUUUGUCUUUUAUAGAAACAACCCAUUAGCAACAAAAGUGGCUAUUAAUCAGUAUUUUAACACUUAACAUUGUUGAAUUCACAUUACACUGGUGUUGACCUUAAAUUAGGAGUGUUAAUUUUUAACACUGUAUUUCUGUGCCAACACCAGUGUAGUGUGGAAACAACAAUGAAUAGUGUUGAACAAAGUGUAAAAUUUAACAAUAUUGAGUGUUAAAUUAACAUAUAA